GGUAAAAUGCAUUUUUCCUGUUUAAGUUGUUGUUUUAAAUUC
rnacentral:scRNA from 2 species